CUGAGAAUUACCUCUCACAUGUGUCCCAGAAGCACUUUAAUCCAGGGUGAUUAACACUCCAUGUGAGGGUUUAGUACAAUGCCAUAUUGUCUAAAUUAAGUCCAAAGAGCAGCAUUGUGGAAAAAUCUAGCAGGGACCGACAACAUACAGCAUGGUGCUGCUUUAGAUCAAAGUAAUGCUGGUAAAUACAGACAGCGGUUCACUAAAGGGAAACGGUAUGAGGAUCUGGUGUUCCUUUAUUCCCCAUUUCCCCUUCCCCUGUUAUCUGUCUCAUACUGACUUCUGCUGACACUGACCAGGUGGCUUCGUCACUACGUGUUUCCAUGGAGCCUUUAAACAGGAAGCAGCAUCUGGAGUGCGAGCGUGCUGUGUGUCUUCAUCGCGGCUGGGAGAAGGUGUCAGUGAGAAACCCACAACGUCAACUACAUACACAAGCUGAGGAGAACGAGAGAUGGGUUUUGGCCCCGAGCGCUUUUGCCCACCACAAGCAACAUUAAUUGUUUCGCAAAAGCUAACUGCGGAGCCCAUUUUUCAACAUUGUUUCUUGUUUUUUUUGUUUCUCCUGUAAACAACUCUUGCCUUACGAUUUGUUCAUCAUAACUCGACAGUGGAUGGCAGAAAGAAGCUUUUUUUUUUUCGUGCCCCGGAGUAACGACCUUGGAAAAAAAAGCCCAAAUAAAAGGACCAGUGGGAGGAUGAUGAAGGCAGACGAUGGUUGUGCAUUUGUCAGAUUUCUGAAUUAAAGAGAUGUUUGUGGAGUUAUUGCUGCACAGAUGACCAGCAGAGACUGCCAUCAUGCAUCUGUGUUAUAUGCGAGAG
ensembl:lncRNA